rnacentral:rRNA from 1 species
AUGCCCCUACGGGAGGCAGCAGUGAGGAAUAUUGGUCAAUGGCCGGAAGGCUGAACCAGCCACGUCGCGUGAGGGAAUAAGGCCCUAUGGGUCGUAAACCUCUUUUGUCGGGGAGCAAAGGCGUCCACGUGUGGACGAGAGGAGAGUACCUGAAGAAAAGCAUCGGCUAACUCCGUGCCAGCAGCCGCGGUAAUACGGAGGAUGCGAGCGUUAUCCGGAUUUAUCGGGUUUAAAGGGUGCGCAGGCGGGCUGUUAAGCCGGCGGUAAAAAUUCAGGGCUCAACCCUGUCGAGCCGUCGG